AACGAACGCUGGCGGCAGGCCUAACACAUGCAAGUCGAGCGCCCCGCAAGGGGAGCGGCGGACGGGUGAGUAACGCGUGGGAAUAUGCCCUUUGCUACGGACUAGUCUCGGGAAACUGGGGGUAAUACCGUAUACGCCCUUUGGGGGAAAGGUUUAUCGGCGAAGGAUUAGCCCGCGUUGGAUUAGGUAGUUGGUGGGGUAAUGGCCUACCAAGCCGACGAUCCAUAGCUGGUUUGAGAGGAUGAUCAGCCACACUGGGACUGAGACACGGCCCAGACUCCUACGGGAGGCAGCAGAGGGGAAUCUUAGACAAUGGGGGCAACCCUGAUCUAGCCAUGCCGCGUGAGUGAUGAAGGCCUUAGGGUUGUAAAGCUCUUUCAGCUGGGAAGAUAAUGACGGUACCAGCAGAAGAAGCCCCGGCUAACUCCGUG
rnacentral:rRNA from 1 species